AUUGAACGCUGGCGGCAGGCCUAACACAUGCAAGUCGAACGCGUGGCGGACGGGUGAGUAAUGUCUGGGAAACUGCCCGAUGGAGGGGGAUAACUACUGGAAACGGUAGCUAAUACCGCAUACCAUCGGAUGUGCCCAGAUGGGAUUAGCUAGUAGGUGGGGUAACGGCUCACCUAGGCGACGAUCCCUAGCUGGUCUGUGAGGAUGACCAGCCAGACGUGUACUGAGACACGGUCCAGAAUCCUACGGGAUGCAGCGGUGGGGAAUAUUGCACAAUGGGCGCGAGCCUGAUUCAGCCUUGCGGCGUGUAUGAAGAAGGCCUUCGGGUUGUAAAGUACUUUCAGCGUGGAGGAUUUACUCGCAGAAGAAGCACCGGCUAACUCCGUGUCAGAGGCCGCGGUAGUAC
rnacentral:rRNA from 1 species